ACGUCACUGGAGAACUGCGGGGAUUUUACGAUUCCAAAGAGCCACUUCUCCUGUUUCGCCGCGACCGUUGGGUUUUCUCGUGACUCGUUUGCACGCUUUUUUCCCUCCUCGCUCUUCUCACUCACCAUCGCAAUCUUGCUUCUCCCUCGUCGCUUUGUCGCGACACGUAUACGCGACCGGAAAGCGAGACACAUAAACUGAUGACGCGCAGACGAACCAUCGAUCGUGGUUAGACACAACGAGCCGAAACGAUUUUUGCGUGCUGUCACAUUCUGUUUUAUUCAUCGGAAAGCUGAUGACCUUGAAAGCAAUGGACGCCCAGGGAAAGUCCGUGGUUCCCAGCGAAUCGAAGAGCAACUCACAGGCAAGCAGCGACCGAAGAAGGUCGGCCAAGUGAUUACCAGAAGCCACGAAGACGAGUUUGAAACCGGUUCAUGGAAGAACGAAUGAAGAUAGAAGAGUGGCGAAAACAUGAGACUAGAUAAGUCGUGUGUACGACCGAUGAAAGAAAUUCAGGUAAAAUUUCAUUGGCAAACCGCAACUAUCCUUGAUACGAACUUUUCCUUGCCGAAUUAUCGAUUUAUUUGUCAUUUUUACCUUCUUCCUGUUAUGUCAUUUCAUUUUAUUUUAUUUUAUUUGUAAUUCUUAAAUCAAAUUCUUCAAAUUUAUAUUCUUUACUAUUUCUAGACUCUAGUAAACAUCGUUUAUCCUUGCAUAGUCGUAUUUUGGAAAUUUGUAUUUUAUUGAUAUCGUUGCAUUUUGAAAAUUGUUGCUCUAUUAGCAUCGUUAUAUUUUAUCUAUAGAUUAGAAGUUGUUAAUUGUCCAUUUUCAUGAGCAAUUAGAAAGAUAAUAAUUUUGUAAAAU